ensembl:misc_RNA Metazoa_SRP Metazoan signal recognition particle RNA
GCUGGGUGUGGUGGUGUGUGCCUGUAAUCCCAGCUACUUGGGAGGCUGAGGCAGGAGAAUCACUUGAACACAGGAGACGGAGGUUGCAGUGAGCUGGCAUUGUGCCACUGCACUCCAGCCUGGGUGACAGAGUGAGACUCUGUCUCAA